UUAUGCUUAUACCCUUGCCAUUAAUAAUUUAGUACGAAUAUACCCCUGACUCUAACGGCUUGCCACGUGUCAAAAUCCUAACGGCUGAACCCUUUUUUUAAAUUUUAUUAUCCUAAAUAAUUAAAUUAUCCUAAAUCAAAUUUCCAGACCCGACCCGAUACCAUGGAAUAAUCAACACACACUUAAUACACCCACAAACACAAAAGGGAAAAAGUAAAAACAAAGAAAAAUGGCGAAGGGAGAAUAGAAGAAAAAAUAGAGGAGGAGAGAUUGAGGGAGAUAGAGAGAAACAAACGGAGAGGAGAGAGGGAGAUUAGAGAGGAAAAAGCAGAGAGAAAACAGUUCUUUCUCCGACAGAAUUUUGCCGAAAAUACCAUCUCCGAUCGAACCCAGCAAAAAAUAGCCAAACCAGUUGUUACACUGACAAAGAUCCUUCUUUUCUUCACCUCCAUUGAUUUUUCAAGUAACAAUUUUGUGGGUAAUAUACCAGAGACAGUUGGAGAUCUCAAAUCACUUUAUCUUCUCAAUAUUUCACACAACAAUCUCAAGGGUCAAAUCCCUCCAACAUUCGGUGAUUUGAAGCAAUUAGGAUCACUGGACCUCUUGUUCAACAAGUUAGGUGGAAAUAUCCCAGAAAAGCUUGCUAGCCUCACAUCUCUUUCCUUCUUAAACUUAUCAUACAAUGAAUUUGUCGGAAUGAUUCCACGAGGUAGCCAACAUCAACAUUUAAAGAAAGUUCUUUCGCAGGAAACAAGGGGUUAUGUGGAUUUUCGCUGAAUAGAACUUGCAAAAAUAAUUCAACAGUGGCACCUUCAGAGCCAGAGGUUGAUUCGAAAAAUUCAUUUCAAGGAUGGAGUUUUGUGAUGGAGUCAUACAAUAUAGAAGGGAUCAAAGAAGAUGUAACGUGGAAGGGAUGAAGAAUUUUUUGAAGUGGGAUCGAAGAACCGGUUGUAUGUAGUUCUCCUGAAAACUAUUGGAAUUGUUUCUCAUUAACUAGUGCACGGAUAGUAUUAAAAAUAUUAAUCAUUUCAAAUUAUGGUAUGAUUGUAUGAGUGCGUUCAAUUAUAUUGCAUUAACUAAAAUUUAAUUGUCA